AUGCCUGUAGCAACGCUCCCGAGGCUCGUUGCCGUGGCGGCGCUAGUCGCGCUGAUGUGCGCCGUUGCUGUGGGUCAGGUACCUGCCGCCGGUGGUGCGCCGGUGUGCGAGGGUGUCGAUCAGGACGUCGUGAAUGCGUGCUUCAAGAGCUUUGGAGAAGGUAUGAAAAAUGCCAUUGCAGACAGGCAUCUUUCGGGGGGUAAGGUCAUUAAGGUUGGAGUAGACUGCUGCAUAGCCUUUGGAGGCCACUCGUGCCUCUGCAAGAUGAAGAAGGCGUGGACUGCCCAGGAUAAUGUGCAGUGUGUCAGGGAAAAGGCAUGUUAG
rnacentral:rRNA from 1 species